AGACAAUCUUACGACAGGUCACGACCUAGAGGAGAGCAGUUGCUAGUUCGAUGGGCUAUUCCACGGCUGCAUGAUAUAGAUGCAUUAUCAAGAAUGGUUGAUCCUUCCCUAAAUGGUUGUUAUCCAUCCAAGUCUUUGUCUCGGUUUGCUGACAUAAUUUCCUUGUGUAUUCAGUCGGAACCUGAAUUCAGGCCACCAAUUUCCGAAAUCGUGCAGAAUCUUCUGCAGAUGAUCUAAAGAUACCAUCAAGAACUCUGUCUUUUAG
rnacentral:misc_RNA from 1 species